AGAACGGAAUUGGGAUGGAGCGGCUUGGUGUCGCAGACCUUAAAUCCCAGCCCUUAGGAGGCAGAGGCAGGUCCGAGGCUACCCUAGAGUUACUUUCGUUAUUGGAUUUAGGUUUAACAAUAAAUUUUCACGUUUAAGUUGGAUUUUAAUUCUAUUUAAGAGUCAUCAUAAAACACGUUUCACGCUAAGAGUAGUUAGCUCGGGUUAGUUGGAUAGUCGCGAUGGCCGGCACUAAGAGCUUCGGGCUAUACUUGAGUAACAGAAGGAGAAUGCUUACAAACCACUCUUUCUCUACCAUGGGUUUUUGUGAAGGCUGCUGAGAUGCUGCAAUGGGGAGGUAUAAGACUCCACCUCUGGGCACAUUCUCACUUCCAAAGCUGCCUGUGCUUUCUGUUAAACUUACUGGAGCUGGAACGAGAAAGCAGUCCUUUGGCUGGCUCAGUGGCUGGAGAAACACAUCAGAAAAAACAGCAUACACAAAAAACCAUCAGUCCUGUUGUACCUAGAUCUCGAGACCCCAAAAGACACCCAGAAGUCGAAUCUGCAUGAGGAUCUUUUUAUUACAAGCUUGAGCCCAGGUUGCAGCAACCUCCCUGGUGAAGAGGAGCAAAGCAGUAUAGGGGAACAAGAUUUUUAAAGGGAAAAACUGCUAGCUGGGAGUCACAUGCCUAGACAGUACGUGAUUGGAUAAGGGAAAAUGACUUUUGAAAUGAUUGGUUUACUUUAGGUGCCAAGACCAUAAAUGGUUCUGGCUGGUCAUCUGGGCUGGUUUCCUAGCAACUGUAUCUCUAGUGGGCAGGAAAAGAAUUCAGUAAGGCUAGUUCCUCCCCUGAAGGUGGCUGGACAUGUCUCCACCUGGCUGGCCUUUGUUCAGGCCUGUGUUUUACACUUUAAACCAAUAUCCCCCAAAACUAAUAUUUAAUUUUUUGGUCUUUUAGUCUUGCCAGCUGAACAUCAGAGGCAGGCCAGACACCAUCACCUCCUACCACCUCAAUCUCCAUGUCUAAAGCCUGUUCAGCCAGUAGCCUCUAUGUCAUACCUGCUUGUUUAGUUUUAUUUCUAUUUGUAAGGCUUAGAGCAGUGUUUCUUGAAUGUGUAGAUUUUUGUCUUCCAAGCAACCCCAGUCAGCCCCUGGUCCCUUCUGGAAGUGGGACAGAAAUGGAAGGAGUGCUUAUUGGAAGUGAUGCCAGCCACAAUGACUUAAAUAUUUUCAUGCUGUCUCUCUUUUAUCCUGUUUCUGUAGGCAAAUUAGGCUGAGAUUGUCUCACAAAUGAAUUGGCUGUGUUGAUCUCCUUUCUCAAUCUUUUAUGUCAUUUCUUUUUAAGUUGGAUACUUUUCCUUUAUGGUCAUUGACUCUUUUAUUUGAUUUAUUUUGACAUUAAGCUCAUCCAAAAGAUUAGUCAUUUUCAGAUACAUCUCAGUUUUCAUUUCUAAAAUUUCCGUUUGGUUCUUUUUGUAUUUUCUAUUCUUUGGUGACACGUUCUUUUAUUGGGAGACCAUUUCCUUCACCUCACUGAGUGUAGUUAUAAUAGCUGGGCUUAAGUCCCAGUCUCAGUCCAAUUUCCAGCCCCUGUCUUCAAAGUGAAAUAUUUGCAUUGCUCUUGCUAUUUGUGGCCUCAAAGCAUCAGUGACUGACUGGGCAGAGCUCUACUGAAAGGUGGGUCUCUCUUUUUGUUUGUUUUUUGUUUUGUUUUUAUGUUAUUUGGAGUGCCCCUCAACUUCCAGAGGAAUUGAAAGCCUUAGCUCCUUUUCCCCUUUGAACAGAAAAAUGACAGAUUUUUCUCUCAGUAGUUCCUAGAUCACCACUGGAUCAGAGCCACAGAGGUAGAGAACUCACCUUGUACCAAGCCCAUCUUGCAAAUUUUGGCUUUCUAGUAAAUUCUGGCACUUUUUGUUCUCUCUGCAGAGACUUCAGUUACUAUUUUAAUAUUAUGGGCAAGGUUUAUAUUAGUCAUUUUCCAGAGGUUCAGUCUGAAGGGAAAUUAUGCUUCCUUUUCCAGAGGCAGACUCUCUUACCUGCUACUUUUUAUUAUCUGGGUAAAGGGUAUGAAUCUCACACUAUGAAAACAGUUGAAUGGGAACAUGAGCAUCUGUCUUCUAUAAUUUAAUUUUAUUUCUACAUGGAGCUCCCAACCUCAGGCUUGUUUUGCAGUCCAGGGUCAUGUGACACAUCAUAAGCAUUGAUUCAAAUGAGUCACUAUGGAGUCAUCUCUUGUUCCUGUGCAUGUGGCCCUAUUAAAUCAUUUGGCUUUCUGCUGGUCUUAACUGUAUUAGUAUGGCCACCUAGUUUCCAGAUACUGAGAAAGACAAGCUGCCAUUUUCUUUCCAGCAUCUUCAGUUCCCUGGUGGUACCACGGAGACGGAGACCUAAGCCUCUCCUCUCUUCAGACCUCCAGAUCUCUUUCUUCUCACAUCCUUCUCUGAGUCUAGCUUCCUUGGUUUACGUUUGAACAUUUUCUUCUUUCAAGUUUCUUGGUGUUACACUAUUAUUUUCCUGCAAUGUCUUGAGAGAACCAGGCAACAGUCAACAGUCCCAGGAACUAGGCCAUAGGUCAUCAAUUCUAGGAAGAAGACAACGGAGUCCCCUAUCUAAGGAACAGCCUGGAGGUAACCAAAAGCAUGGGAAGGUAUCUUAUCUCAGGGUGGGGCAUCUGUGCUGGGCAGUCCACUGACAUGGUAGUAGAACUUUCAUGUCACAGAAAUACCUAAUAUUCUUGAGGUCUAUAGAUAGCUUGUUCAAUGUUAGUUAGCCACAAUCACCUUGUAACAAUCUUGCCAUUGGUGAAUGGCACCAAAUUGUGUAACUGCUAAGCUGUAAUUUCCCAAAGCUCACUGCAAGCCAAUAAAAAUCCUGCUCU